GGAGUUUAGCUCAGCUGGGAGAGCAUCUGCCUUACAAGCAGAGGGUCAGCGGUUCGAUCCCGUUAANCGUCG
rnacentral:tRNA from 1 species